AGUCCCUAGACCGCGCCUGCGCACAUUGCACGUUGCAACAGCUGAUCGCCGUGCGCAGCGUCGACGCAACAGCUGUCGUUCGGAUGAUCGUCAAAUUUAGAAUCGUCGCCACCGCCACCGCUUUCGUUCAGCUUCCCCUCCCACGACAAAUUUAGUCAGGGGAAGGGGGGAGUGAGAUAAAGAGCAAGGUUCGAGAUUAAAUCGAGGUUGGCCAUCACUGUGAAAUCGUUGGCCGUUGUGUGCACUGAGCGUAAUAUUUAAAAAUAAAAAGACUAAAAAUAGUAUCAUGUAUAUAUAUAUAUAUAUAUACAAAAAACAUAACAUUUUUAUAUAUUUAAUAUAAGUUAGUAGCGAUAAUGACGACGAUAAUAUGACGUGAUAAUUUUCACCGUGCAACUUGUUUUUUUUAAAGCUUCAAAGGCUAAAAUGUUUUCUUUAAUUCUUGCGUUAUGAAAAGACUUUGCGAUACAAUAUUUGACAAAAAAGUGUGUUUUAAAUUCACAUUUAUAUAUCCAUAUUAUCCGAUAUUAAUAAUAAUAGUAAUAACAGUGUUUAUAUGUGCACUGUUCUGACAAUAUCGAGAUAGCUCUUGAAUUGAAAUAAACAAAAAUUUCUGAUAAUCACGUGAAUGAAAUUGCAAUUUUUGUCCCUUAUGCAUUACUCAACGCAACACAGAAUUAUGAGAACAAAAAAAAUAUCAAUUUGUACAUGCUUAUUCCGCGCACACAAUAUAUGAAUAAAAAUAAUACGCCACGUACGUC